UUUUCUUAUCAAGAAAGAUUUUUUUCAAGAAUUUUCUUUUAUAUAUUUGAACAAUGGAAAUUGUGAUUUUGUUUGUCCUAUUAAUUUUUUUAAUUUCAUAAAUUGAGAAGGGAAAUGGGGAAUUUGUCAAGGAGACAGAUUUGGGAACGGCUCAUAAUAAGUCAAUGGUAUUUGGUAUGCAGUUGUAUUAGCAUUGGUACAUCUCAUUUACAUAGAGAUUGUUUAGCCAUAUAACUCGGUCAUGGUUCAUUGACUUUGAAUAUUGCAUAAAACUUGUGUAAGAU
rnacentral:lncRNA from 1 species